CCCUGCUUGAGUUCCUGCCCUGGCUUUUCUCAGUGACAGAUUGUUAUCGGAAUACGUAAAUGGACUCUUUGCUCUCCAGGUUGCCUUUGGUCCUAGUCUUUAUAUCAGCUACAGGAUGCAGACGAAGGAAUACAGAACAAUGUUCAAUUCAGUCUUCCCAGGAAAAUGAAGAUGUCUCCCAAGUCGGGUACCCUUGCCUUCCACCUCUGGUUAGUGUUCCAACCACACAAUGCUUCCCAUCCUAGGGUCCAGGUGCAACUGUGCAGGUAGCCAGGAGCCAGCUGUAACCUGAUCUCUGAGCAGCGAUGCCAAGGGCAGGCAGCUCCCACAGCAGCAGGAAGCAACCUUGAGGAAAAAGAGGCCUCUUCAAAAGGCGUGAGUCCUCCUGGGAGCCACAAGCACAAGGACAAAGGACACUAUGCUCUUCUUCCCAUUGUAAACCAGUCCACUAACUGAUGGUUUAUCUGGGUCUGGUAAGAGAGACUUGGAGACUAACAAGAACACCCUUGGCCAGAGUUUACUCUGGCUGGACAGGAGGAGCAGGUCUGCCUAUUCAAAAGUCAGUGUUAGGGCUGGCGAGAUGACUCGGCAGCCUCUUGCUGCCAAACCUGAGCCUUAUCCCAGGAACUCGUGGUAUGAAGACAGAGAAGAGACUCCCACAAGUUGUCCUCAGCCUUGCACACACACACAUAAACUAAAAAUUUAAGUUAGCUUUGGGCUCUCAGAGAUGCCGGCCCUGUGAGCAACAACCACAAUGAGAGGAAGGACUGAAGUGAGCCAGCUUCUGGGGACGUGAGAAGACAAAAAGCUGUGUCCAUGGUUGCAGGGGAGUUCCUCCCUUCCUGCAGUCAUAUAAAGCAGCGAAGAUUGGAAUCUUGGAAAUAUCUCUUACCCCAGAUGAGCCUAAGUUUCUGCAGCUUAGGCUGCAGAAACUGUGGAACCACCCUGGCAUCACCGACAAAGCAUGGUAGAAAAGAGGCUGCAGGGGAGCAUGGCAAAGAGUAUGGUAUCUCUUCCCAUCCUGUUGUAGGAUUUGGGAUUUACCUGAAUUUAAGAUUGCUACCUGCUUCCAAGUCCAGAACACAAUGUGGGACACCUGCUACACUAGCCUAGGCCAUGGAGCCUGACUGAAGAUCCAGAUGUGGUGGGAGCCCCUCAUCUACCCUGUUCUCUGAGGUGCACAGGGUUGUGCGUCCAAAGGCAGACCACACAGGGGGCCUCUCAGGGCAGUUUUGUCAGCUGGAUUAAGAAAUGCCUAUGGCAUCGGUGCAGUGUAACCGAGGGUGUUUGAAGAGAUUA